AGAAUCUCUAGGAGGAAACGAUCUAGGUUAGCUGGAUCAAAUAGCAACUCUUCUAUUGGGUACAUACAAUUGAAUCAUCACUGGCUAGGAAAGUUUAACUGUGAUCUGUUUUGGUUCAGUGUUAUCCAAUUUUGCGCGACAGCAUUUGGAUACUAUGCUCAAGCAACCGCAGCACAGGAAAUUUUUGGGCACACAUUGGAGUCCCUUCGUGGAAUUAAAUACUUGUACAAGUAUAAUGUAUUCCAGAUUGCUUUUGUCGCUCUAGCUGGAUUAACCUUUGUGUAUUAUGCCUCCUUUGGAUGGAGGAGAAAAAAACCCAGUGGCAGGUUCCAGCUUUCUAGCUAAAAUUGGAUCUUCCAAAAUGGGCUAGAGCUGCCAUCGUUAGUUGCUUCUCUGGUUAUUAUCCUCUCCAGAGCGAUCUUGAAUGCAGAUACGGUUAUGCCCUGAUGUUGUCUUUUGUGGAAAGAAGUGAAGGUUUUGGCAUCCGCGAUGGAUUUGAUUGCUGCAGAAAGGAUGACUUUUUGCGUGCUGGCCACAAUUACUGAUGCUCUUUCUGCAAUGACCUUCUGUAUGUAGAAUUUCUUUUUUCUGAUUGUAGAAUACCUUGUUUGAGCAUGUGAUUGAAAAUGAAGAGUACUUCGCGACAUGGAGGAUUAAGAUUUACACUGUCCUGAGAUGUAAGAUAAUCAAAUUGAGAAGAGCGCUUCUGUUCAGUUGUAUUGUCCUGUGUGUAAUUUGAGUGGGUUCUUGGUGUGCAAACAUGUCUUGAGCAGGAUAGUGAA